UUUCAAAAAGUUCAGAAUAGCCUCCCUGUUCUGUUAAUUAAACUUGGGACAUAGAAACAUGAGCUAGAGGAUUGGAUAGAAAGCAUUACCUAUUCAUUUACCUCCCAGCCUACAAAA